CUAAGAUAAUCCUGCAAACAUCUUCCUAAUUAUUUUGAGAUCCGUUUUUUCUUCUACAGAAGAAAGUAUGAGAAAAUUUGGGCAAACAUCUGACUUUUGCUCUCCCUACAGACGUCAUAUCUUCACUGAGGACCAUAUUGUCAUACCAUGUUCCCAAAACUUUUGAUAAGCUCUUGCCCAGACAGUGAAGUUUGUUUUACAGCUCUGUUAGCCACUCUGAUAACCAAGCCCACAUAUCCUGGCACAGCUCCACUGACUUCAGUGAACUGACAACAAUUUGCAUAUGGCAAAAACAUAGAUUAAGGCUCUUUUUGAAGUUCAGGCUUGAUUGCACCAGGGAGUUAAGCACCUAGCUACCUAUUAAAAUCUGAUCACUGCAAACACUCUUGAUUUCUUCUUAUUAGAAAACCCAGCUUCAGAUAAGACACUAAAUCACAGUUAUUCCCACACUGGCAAAAUUGUACAUCACCCUUUAUCCAACUGACAGCUAUUGUCUGAAAAUUAUGAACAACACAGCUGCAGGGAUCUUAGUCAAGGAUCAUCUUGGAUUCUGGACAAAUGAGGGAGUGGAGAUGACAAAGUGGCUUAACUUUUCAAAGAAGGCUCUCACCAGUCCAGAGUUGAAGGAAAAUUCAACAAGUGAAGGACAUUCCAGGAUGAUGUCCAAGGACCCCCAGCCCUGCCUUUUGGGGGAAACCUUUGACCUCAAUAUGAGCACAGGAGUCAUCCCACAAUGAUCCUAGCACUAAGAAACAAGGAUAAGAAGAAAAAAACCUGCAUUACUUGCCUUCAAUGGCUAAAUUGGAGCCAUUUAGGAGAGACAGGAUGGAUAAAGGGAUGGAAGGAGGUACCCUUCCCUUGUGCAUCCAGCACCUCUCUUUCAUGUGUUCAUGUUCAAGAGCAUAAAUAACAAGUUCCUCAUGGUAUUCUGGACUCUUGACAUCACAUGAAGACCUGGAAGAGUGAAAUAAGCUCCAGAGAGCUCUGCAGCCGAAGGACAGGUUUUGACUGGUGCAGACAUGGCAGGAAACUGCUGUCAGAAGCCUGUUCUAAGUCCUGUGCCACAGGUAGAGAAGAGAGAAUUAUGGGCUUAAAAUGAACAAGAGCUCAGGAUCAUAGGUUUUCUGUCACAGUCAUUCCUCUUGGAAUGUUCCCAGUGCUGCUCAGACCCCAAACCCUCACCCUACCCCAGAUGUGCAACACAAAUCUCACAAAUCUGAGUGUGCUGUGAGCUCUGGCACCAUCCUGAGUCCAGCACUUGUCCCACCCUGCCAGUUUGGGCAGGGGAGAGCUGGAGUUCUCCCAGGUGAGAAGGAACAGCCAUGGCAAUGUGCAGGGUGGCCUGGGCUGAUCUGCCUGGGCAGCCUCAGGGGCCUAUGGCCAAAAGGUUCUGCUGGCUUCCUCUCCAACUGGGUCUGGGAGCUUUCCUGUAUGUGGUAAAAGAAGGGGAAAUAAGAGCAAAUUUAUUCUGUCCCUCGUGAAAUGAGUGCUUCUUUUUACAUUGACCAAUUUUCUGAGUUUUUAAAUGAAGCUGGACACUAUGGGGAUGUUGUGUUGCUUUAAUUAGAACUUUGAUUUAUUGUUUUUCCUCGCUAUACCUCUCAACUCUUUCCUCUCCUAGUUUUCCUACUCAACUCUUUUUAAAGAGAAAGGUGGGUGGAAAUAAACAGGGGAAAUUGAAAAUAAAACCA
ensembl:lncRNA